UACCCUGCAACUCCUAUCCCUACCUCCUCGCGGUACUGGCCGGGGUAAGAGUAACCUUAGGGAAGAUCUGGUAACCAACCCCGGUGGAAACUUUGGACGUAUGCUGACAGGAAAGG
rfam:Aedes aegypti strain Liverpool supercont1.71 genomic scaffold, whole genome shotgun sequence.